GCUAGUGUAGUGUAGUGGUUUGGGUGUUGGACUAUGACUCUGGAGACCAAGGUUCAAAUCCUGACUCAGCC